CUCAAAGCUACCUGAAGCAGAAGGCAUGAGAGUGAAGCAGUGCUAAAAGUCAGUGGAAAGUUCUUGGUUUCGAGGCUUUUCCAUCCAACAGGGCUUUUUUAAGUCUUCUCCAGAAGAUGUGCCUCCCCAGAGGAUUGUCCUCCCAUUCCAGGUGAAUGGAAUGAUGUGAUGAAGAAACUUUGAGCUUUGAAGUAAGAGAUGUAAGCUUGACUCUAGUCUGGUAAGGGAUGGACAUUUGGCAUUUGGUAACUAACUGGUGUGCUAUUGCUUGGGAAAGACUAUUUCUUCCAAUCUAUAAACAGAGAUCAUGACAGAAAAUCACAACCAACCAAAAUGCAGAAUUCUGGAGUCCAGUACCAAUGGAAGCACUUAACAAUACAACCCCAACAUCUACAGAUGAGGGAUCACUGCAGCAGAGGAGGCUGAAAGAUUAUGAUUCAAAAGGUUAUGAACUUUACUGCAAUACUGUGUUCCUUAAUGUCAAAAGCUACACCCAUAAAGUUUCACUAACAUGACUGCCUGCAAAUGAGAUGUAAGAGGCCAACAGGUACACAUAUCCAGGAGUCUUUAACCCUACACAAAGAACUAAAGAAUACUGAGUGUGGGACAAAGUUUUGCUUGUGUGCUGGUUUGCCUUUAUAAUAUCUUCUCUGAACCUCAGUAGUUUUAUG